AGUGAACGCUGGCGGUAGGCCUAACACAUGCAAGUCGAACGGCAGCACAGUAAGAGCUUGCUCUUACGGGUGGCGAGUGGCGGACGGGUGAGGAAUACAUCGGAAUCUACUUUUUCGUGGGGGAUAACGUAGGGAAACUUACGCUAACACCGCAUACGACCUACGGGUGAAAGCAGGGGAUCUUCGGACCUUGCGCGAUUGAAUGAGCCGAUGUCGGAUUAGCUAGUUGGCGGGGUAAAGGCCCACCAAGGCGACGAUCCGUAGCUGGUCUGAGAGGAUGAUCCGCCCCACGGGAAAUGAGACACGGUCCAGCCCCCUACGGGGGGCAGCAGGGGGGAAUAUGGGAAAAUGGGGGAAACCCUGACCCAGCCAUCCCGGGGGGGGGAAGAAGGCCUUCGGGUUGUAAAGCCCUUUUGUGGGGAAAAAAAAGCAGCGGGUUAAUCCCCCGCUGUUCUGGCGGUACCAAAAAAAAAAGCACCGGCUAACUUCGU
rnacentral:rRNA from 1 species